ensembl:lncRNA
GACUGGUCGUCGAGGUGGAAAAAUACGUCGAAUUAUAUGACCAAAGUACCCGUCAUUACAAAGACAACUCCAAAAAGGUCAUUGCCUGGCGAGCCAUAGCUCUGGAGAUUGGAUCUUCAGGUGAGAAAUCAACAAUGGUGGAAACAAAUAACUGUUGCCAGACAGAGGGGGGCUGCCCUUCUUCUCCUGCAAGGAGCAAGGAGAAGACGAAGGGUUUGGGUGCACCCCAUCAAUGAACGGAGACAAGAACAGGGGGUAUGCCACAAUCUGGUCCAGGAGCUCCGUGCAGAUCCUGAGAGGCACGCCAAUAUUUCAAUUCGCUACUAAGUGUGCAAUGGCAGAACCAUAUGGUGCAGCCUAUAUGAUGACCUAUAAUCUAGUUAUUAUCCCUCUCUGGUAUACUCUUUUGCAUAUAUAUACUUUUUUUUUAUCCCUCGGGAUAAAUACAGUGAUGUUAUUGCUGUGCUGGAUUCAGUAGCCAGUGUAUUUUAUUUGAGUGCUCGAGACACUUAAUGUUAUUUUUCCCUAAAUCCAGAGAGACAGUUAAUGCAUGAUCUGAUACCAGAGAGACAGUUAAUACAUGACAAUGCAUUUUUGAGCUUUGCCUGUGUUUCCUUUUACUUAUCUAUUUUAUUGUAUGAGAAUGUUUCUAUGUGAAGCACUUUGAGUCUGCUUCAUGUAUUAAAAGUGCUAUAUGAAUGAAGUUGCCUU